rnacentral:rRNA from 2 species
AGACCAAGGGUUCCUGUCCAACGUUAAUCGGGGCAGGGUGAGUCGACCCCUAAGGCGAGGCCGAAAGGCGUAGUCGAUGGGAAACGGGUUAAUAUUCCCGUACUUGGUGUUACUGCGAAGGGGGGACGGAGAAGGCUAUGUUGGCCGGGCGACGGUUGUCCCGGUUUAAGCGUGUAGGUGUGUGUUCCAGGUAAAUCCGGUUCACUUUAACACUGAGGCGUGACGACGAGGCACUACGGUGCUGAAGCAACAAAUGCCCUGCUUCCAGGAAAAGCCUCUAAGCAUCAGGUAACAUCAAAUCGUACCCCAAACCGACACAGGUGGUCAGGUAGAGAAUACCAAGGCGCUUGAGAGAACUCGGGUGAAGGAACUAGGCAAAAUGGUGCCGUAACUUCGGGAGAAGGCACGCUGACACGUAGGUGAAGUGAUUUACUCAUGGAGCUGAAGUCAGUCGAAGAUACCAGCUGGCUGCAACUGUUUAUUAAAAACACAGCACUGUGCAAACACGAAAGUGGACGUAUACGGUGUGACGCCUGCCCGGUGCCGGAAGGUUAAUUGAUGGGGUCAGCGCAAGCGAAGCUCCUGAUCGAAGCCCCGGUAAACGGCGGCCGUAACUAUAACGGUCCUAAGGUAGCGAAAUUCCUUGUCGGGUAAGUUCCGACCUGCACGAAUGGCGUAAUGAUGGCCAGGCUGUCUCCACCCGAGACUCAGUGAAAUUGAACUCGCUGUGAAGAUGCAGUGUACCCGCGGCAAGACGGAAAGACCCCGUGAACCUUUACUAUAGCUUGACACUGAACAUUGAGCCUUGAUGUGUAGGAUAGGUGGGAGGCUUUGAAGUGUGGACGCCAGUCUGCAUGGAGCCGACCUUGAAAUACCACCCUUUAAUGUUUGAUGUUCUAACGUGGACCCGUUACCCGGGUUGCGGACAGUGUCUGGUGGGUAGUUUGACUGGGGCGGUCUCCUCCUAAAGAGUAACGGAGGAGCACGAAGGUUGGCUAAUCCUGGUCGGACAUCAGGAGGUUAGUGCAAUGGCAUAAGCCAGCUUGACUGCGAGCGUGACGGCGCGAGCAGGUGCGAAAGCAGGUCAUAGUGAUCCGGUGGUUCUGAAUGGAAGGGCCAUCGCUCAACGGAUAAAAGGUACUCCGGGGAUAACAGGCUGAUACCGCCCAAGAGUUCAUAUCGACGGCGGUGUUUGGCACCUCGAUGUCGGCUCAUCACAUCCUGGGGCUGAAGUAGGUCCCAAGGGUAUGGCUGUUCGCCAUUUAAAGUGGUACGCGAGCUGGGUUUAGAACGUCGUGAGACAGUUCGGUCCCUAUCUGCCGUGGGCGCUGGAGAACUGAGGGGGGCUGCUCCUAGUACGAGAGGACCGGAGUGGACGCAUCACUGGUGUUCGGGUUGUCAUGCCAAUGGCACUGCCCGGUAGCUAAAUGCGGAAGAGAUAAGUGCUGAAAGCAUCUAAGCACGAAACUUGCCCCGA